GUUGUAUGGUUAAGUGACUAAGCGUACACGGUGGAUGCCUUGGCAGUUGGAGGCGAUGAAGGACGUACUAACUUGCGAUAAGCCUAGUCAAGCCAGUAAGAGGCGCUUGAGACUAGGAUUUCCGAAUGGGGAAACCCACCUGCUUGCAGGUAUCGUUAACUGAAUACAUAGGUUAACGAGGCGAACGCGGAGAACUGAAACAUCUAAGUACCCGUAGGAAAAGAAAUCAACCGAGAUUCCGAAAGUAGCGGCGAGCGAAAUCGGAGCAGCCCUUAAGCUUUAGUGUAGUUAGUGGAACAUGCUGGAAAGCAUGACGAAACAGGGUGAUAGUCCCGUACACAAAAACUUAUCUAAAGUGAAAUCGAGUAGGUCGGAGCACGUGAAACUUUGACUGAAUAUGGGGGGACCAUCCUCCAAGGCUAAAUACUCCCAACUGACCGAUAGUGAACCAGUACCGUGAGGGAAAGGCGAAAAGAACCCCUGUGAGGGGAGUGAAAUAGAACCUGAAACCGUGUACGUACAAGCAGUAGGAGCCUACUUGUUGGGUGACUGCGUACCUUUUGUAUAAUGGGUCAGCGACUUAUAUUCUGUAGCGAGGUUAACCGUUUAGGGGAGCCGUAGCGAAAGCGAGUCUUAACUGGGCGCUUAAGUUGCAGGGUAUAGACCCGAAACCCGGUGAUCUAGCCAUGGGCAGGUUGAAGGUUGAGUAACAUCAACUGGAGGACCGAACCCACUAACGUUGAAAAGUUAGGGGAUGACCUGUGGCUAGGAGUGAAAGGCUAAUCAAACCGGGAGAUAGCUGGUUCUCCCCGAAAUCUAUUUAGGUAGAGCCUCGGACGAAUACUUACGGGGGUAGAGCACUGUUAAGGCUAGGGGGUCAUCCCGACUUACCAACCCUUUGCAAACUCCGAAUACCGUAAAGUACUAUCCGGGAGACACACGGCGGGUGCUAACGUCCGUCGUGGAGAGGGAAACAACCCAGACCGUCAGCUAAGGUCCCAAAGUGUAUGUUAAGUGGGAAACGAUGUGGGAAGGCUAAAACAGCUAGGAGGUUGGCUUAGAAGCAGCCACCCUUUAAAGAAAGCGUAAUAGCUCACUAGUCGAGUCGGCCUGCGCGGAAGAUGUAACGGGGCUAAACAUACCACCGAAGCUACGGCUGCGUACGUAAGUAUGCGGGGUAGGGGAGCGUUCUGUAAGUGGCUGAAGGUGUGCCGGGAGGCAUGCUGGACAUAUCAGAAGUGCGAAUGCUGACAUGAGUAACGACAAGAGGAGUGAAAAACUCCUCCGCCGGAAGACCAAGGGUUCCUAUCCCAUGUUAAUCAGGGUAGGGUGAGUCGACCCCUAAGGCGAGGCUGAAGAGCGUAGUCGAUGGGAAACGGGUUAAUAUUCCCGUACUUGGUAUGAAUGCGAUGGGGGGACGGAGCAGGCUAGGCAAGCAUGGCGUUGGUUGUCCAUGUGAAAGGCUGUAGGCUGGUGACUUAGGAAAAUCCGGGUUGCUAAGGCUGAGAGUCGAGACGAGCCACUAAGGUGGUGAAGUUGUUGAUGCCCUACUUCCAGGAAAAGCCUCUAAGCUUCAGUUCAUACUGAAUCGUACCCUAAACCGACACAGGUGGUCAGGUAGAGAAUACUAAGGCGCUUGAGAGAACUCGGGUGAAGGAACUAGGCAAAAUUGUACCGUAACUUCGGGAGAAGGUACGCUCUUGUUUGUGAAAGACUUGCUCUGUAAGCAAACGAGAGCCGCAGUGACCAGGUGGCUGGGACUGUUUAUUAAAAACACAGCACUGUGCAAAAUCGUAAGAUGACGUAUACGGUGUGACACCUGCCCGGUGCCGGAAGGUUAAUUGAUGGGGUUAGCUUAGGCGAAGCUCUUGAUCGAAGCCCCGGUAAACGGCGGCCGUAACUAUAACGGUCCUAAGGUAGCGAAAUUCCUUGUCGGGUAAGUUCCGACCUGCACGAAUGGUGUAACCAUGGCCACGCUGUCUCCACCCGAGACUCAGUGAAAUUGAAAUCGCAGUGAAGAUGCUGUGUACCCGCGGCUAGACGGAAAGACCCCGUGAACCUUUACUACAGCUUGGCACUGAACAUUGACCCUACAUGUGUAGGAUAGGUGGGAGGCUUUGAAGCAGGAACGCUAGUUUCUGUGGAGCCGACCUUGAAAUACCACCCUUGUAGUGUUGAUGUUCUAACUUAGGCCCCUGAACCGGGGUUGAGGACAGUGCCUGGUGGGUAGUUUGACUGGGGCGGUCUCCUCCCAAAGAGUAACGGAGGAGCACGAAGGUUUGCUAAGUACGGUCGGACAUCGUACGGUUAGUGUAAUGGUAGAAGCAAGCUUAACUGCGAGACAGACACGUCGAGCAGGUACGAAAGUAGGUCAUAGUGAUCCGGUGGUUCUGAAUGGAAGGGCCAUCGCUCAACGGAUAAAAGGUACUCCGGGGAUAACAGGCUGAUACCGCCCAAGAGUUCAUAUCGACGGCGGUGUUUGGCACCUCGAUGUCGGCUCAUCACAUCCUGGGGCUGAAGUCGGUCCCAAGGGUAUGGCUGUUCGCCAUUUAAAGUGGUACGCGAGCUGGGUUUAGAACGUCGUGAGACAGUUCGGUCCCUAUCUGCCGUGGGCGUUUGAGAAUUGAGAGGGGCUGCUCCUAGUACGAGAGGACCGGAGUGGACGAACCGCUGGUGUUCGGGUUGUGAUGCCAAUUGCAUUGCCCGGUAGCUACGUUCGGAACUGAUAACCGCUGAAAGCAUCUAAGCGGGAAGCAGGCCUCGAGAUGAGUUCUCACUUUGACUUAGAGUCAACUGAAGGGCCGUUGAAGACUACAACGUUGAUAGGCGAGAUGUGGAAGUGCUGUGAGGCAUUAAGCUAACUCGUACUAAUUACCCGAGAGGCUUAACCAUACAACGCCAAAGUGGUUU
rnacentral:rRNA from 1 species